rnacentral:rRNA from 1 species
GAUGAACGCUGGCGGCGUGCCUAAUACAUGCAAGUCGAGCGAACGGACGAGAAGCUUGCUUCUCUGAUGUUAGCGGCGGACGGGUGAGUAACACGUGGAUAACCUACCUAUAAGACUGGGAUAACUUCGGGAAACCGGAGCUAAUACCGGAUAAUAUUUUGAACCGCAUGGUUCAAAAGUGAAAGACGGUCUUGCUGUCACUUAUAGAUGGAUCCGCGCUGCAUUAGCUAGUUGGUAAGGUAACGGCUUACCAAGGCAACGAUGCAUAGCCGACCUGAGAGGGUGAUGGGCAACAAUGGAACGGGAACAGGGCCCAGACCCCUAGGGGAGGCAGCAGUAGGGAAUCUGCCGCAAGGGGCGAAAGCCUGACGGGGCAACGCGGGGGGAGUGAUGAAGGCCUUCGGAUCGUAAAACUCUUUUAUUAGGGAAGAACAUAUGUGUAAGUAACUGUGCAAAUCUUGACGGUACCAAAUCAAAAAGCCACGGCUAACUACGG